UUACGGCCAUAUCACAUUGAAACAUCGAUUCCCAUAUGAUCACCAAAGUUAAGCAAUGUCAAGUCUAGCCAGUACCUAAAUGGGUGUCUGUUUGGGAAUAUUAGGUGCUGUAAG